UACGUUUACUGUAGAAAAUGUAUGGCAGUUCCUGAAAAUAAUGAAACAUAUACCCAAAUGAAUUGAAGGCAGAGACUGAAACAGAUAUUUGUAUACUCCUGUUUAUAGCAGCAUUAUUCCACAAUAGCCGAAAGACAGAAGCAGUCCAAGUCUCCAACAAUGGAUGACUGCAUAAAGAAAAUGAUACAUGUACAUACAAUGUAAUAUUAUUCAGCCUGAAAAAAGAAGGAAAUUCUGGCACAUGAUGCAACAUGGAUGAGCCUUGAAGACUUAUAGAAAAAUGAAGAAAAUCUAACAAGAAUAAGCUUUGAAAAUAUUCUAGAGGAGCAAAGACUUUAAAGCUUUUAGAAGAGUUUAUAAAUUUGUUUUCCAGAGGAUACAGAGAGCAAAGUCACAUAAAGGGUGAACACUCUCAAGAGUGAGAUUGCAGGGGCCAGUGUAUAAUUUGUUUUCCUGAAGUUCUACUCAGCUGUUCCAAAGCAGCAGUACUAGUUUGCACUUUCAGUGGCAGUGCCUGAAGGUUCCUGUCAGUCAACCACUCACUAACACUUGAUGUUACCAGGCUUUCUAAUUUGUCCUAAUCAGGCUUCUGACCAACCAGAGAAGUCAUUCACUACUACCACUGAGCAAGUAUUCUUACCUCAGGCUACUUCUCUUUACAUACUAAGUGGACGAGCACAUUCAACCUGAGCUCUGACCUUUGGGAGGAUUUCUCCUUGGAGGAUUACCUGUCUUUCAGCACCACCUGAGUAUGGAG